CACAAAGCUGUGUGCUUGGCUUCCUCACGCACAUCACAGGUUAUCCAUUUAGGAUCUGGGUGGGCGGCUCAGCAUGCAGUGAUGGAGAAAUGUUUGUCACAUGUAAAGGCCUGGAUCACCUGGUGGGUAAAAAAGAGACGGGAGCAAAAAGCACAGGGUUUGGUCAACAUUGCCAACAGGCCAAGGACAACCACAAACACGCCUCUAAUCCCCUUUGUUCCUUGAUCUAACCGAGAGAGUGCCAAGGUCUCCACCCUUGCUCUCCUUCCUGCCCCACCCACCUCCUGUGCCGCAGCCUUUUCUAACAGCAGUGGGUAGCAACGCCCUUUAAAUACUCAGGGGACAUUCUUCCUUUGUCAGAGUGUCACGCUCAUACCAGCUUAGGUUGUCCCUAAGAAUAAAGUCUUAAAGACUUUAUUCUUCUAGUUGUGAGUCACUGCUGCCAUCCUGUCUGUCUUAUUCCUGCUGGGAAAGAAGAGUAGGGGAGCGGUGAGAGGGAUGCCAGAGGCUGAGUGGUUCCUUGUGGAGCUAGGGAACACGGGGCAAGGCAGUUACAAGACAGCUCUACUGCCAUGGGCAGAGGAAGGAAUCGCUCCCCUAUAGGGUGGAAGGGACCAGAUUGCUGAUCCCCGUAUUCUGGUGAGGUUACCCAUCUCUGUGAGCCUCAGCUUCCUCACUGGUAUAAAAAGUCCCCGGUUCUUUGAGAGAACAAGAGAAAUGACUCCAUUGCAAGUGAGGCAGUGUCUGGCACAUUAGGGUAACCCCCACCCCACCCCUCUUCCUUCUCUCCUUCCACCUUGUAUAUGUUACUUUUCUUGAUACUAUGGCCAAUCAUCACCCAACAAAAGCACUGUAAGGGGAGAAGGGCUUAUUGGGGUUCACAGUUUGGAGGGUCACAGCCCAUCAUGGUGAGGAAGGUAUGCAGAAGAAGGCAGUUGCUCACACAGCAUCUGCGGGCAGGAUGCAGAGAGAGGUGGGGUGCUGCUACUCAGUUCCCUUUCCCUUUUUAGGGACCCCACCCCCACAGGAUGGUGCCAUUCUCUCUGUUUCCUCUUUCUGGGAGCAUGUUCAUAGACUUGGAGAUGCGUUUCCAUGGUGAUUAUAAAUCCUGUCAAGUUGACAAUGAAGAUUACCCAUCCUGCUUCUCCUAAAAGGAGAAUGAGUGUCUCUAAACAAGCAUGUAUCCUCAAACAGGCUGGGCAAAGUGCCACCAUGCCACCACCGUGCACCCAGAGGGGAACAGGGACAAGCGGGAGAGAACUUGGGGGGACCCCUGUAUGAAGGGUGGGGAAGGGGAGGGGACAUACUCAUCUAUUCCACUCCACACUGUGCUUACAAUGAUUUAUUCCACAUCUCAGACUCAAGACAAGAAUUUAAAUCCCACUUAAAGGCAGCUCUUCUCAUGAUUCAGCUCCAUAAUCAUCAUCAAUAUUUAUCGGCUCAGGCCUGCUUCCAGACAUCAUAGAUCUCCUUCAGUCUGGAAAGCCGAAGGAUGAGAGGGGACACAGAGAAAGAGAGAGAGAGAGAGAGAGAGAGCUCUAGGCUCCCAAGGGACAGCUACAGCAAAGGGAGCAGCAAGCCCUGUGCACUAGGUCUAGCAAGGGCUCGGCAACAUUCAGAACAUGAGGACAUUUAGAUUCAAUGAAGGGAGAUGAUGUUUUGUUCUCAGUGAGAAUGAGAUACGCAAGAGGGAGUUGAGUGUGACCAUAAAAUGAAUGCAGGAAACGUUUCAGGCAAGUUCAUGGUUGCCUGAGCUCUGGGAGGGACACUAUGACCCUCUGAGAUUGC
rnacentral:lncRNA from 1 species